rnacentral:lncRNA from 1 species
GUGGGAUGGUGGGAAGGGUCCGAGGGCGCCCCGACGGGAGACCGUGUUUCCUCGCCCAAAUCGGGAGGCGCGAAAGCCGGCUUCAAAGCGAGCGAGGGUUUGGGGACUUGAUGUUGGACUCGAACGAUUCCAAACCCUGCUGAGGCUGCCUCGAGAAGCCAGAGGACCGGGCUUCUUUCUUCCUGUCCGUGGGAUAUUUUCCUUGGAAGAAAGUUGUCAACUCGACACAAAGAAAUCGGGUUUUCUUUUUCACGACUCCGUCCUCUCCAGAUGGCAGGAGUCGGGCUGCCUGGAGAAGAGAGUCACAAAGAUUCGUGCAUUUCACUUCCCAAUGGAGCCACAAGGUGGCACCAGGACCCAACUUUGCCCGGGAAUCCGCCGACGUCGCCCAGCAAACUGCGGGUCCAGGUUCAAGUUGUCGUUCCACUCUAAAAGCAUCUCGGAGUCUUUUAAGAGGAUUUUUUUAAAAAGUAAACUAGAAGAAGAAAAGAUUUCCAGGUUUAUGAUUUCUGAUGCUACUGCCCAACAUUAAUUUUUUUCACUCGGUACUAUCAUUUACUACUCUUUUGCCAAUAAACUGAAUGGCUUUUUUAACCUCAUUUUCUGUAAACAAAAAUCAUAGGUUUUUUUCUUUUUUUCUCAUUUCGGAAUCUGGUCACUGUGUAA